GAGCUACAUUCUUUCAUAGAAGUUCAUCUUUUCCUGAUCUUUGUUUGUCCCCCAAAAAAAGGGGUGAGAGGACAUUGCAGAUGUUCGGGACGGACACGACUUCUUCUAAUGCUAGAAGACCACAGGAAGAAACCCGAGACCAGAGCAUGUCGUGAAAGACGCACACGGGGCGGGCGUGCUUCGACCGUGUCUCCGACUGAGAACUCUCGAAUAGAAUAUGAGAAGGGAAAGAUCCUUUACAUAAGGAACUAUUGA
rnacentral:rRNA from 1 species